GACGGAGGGUGCAAGCGUUGUUCGGAUUGACUGGGCGUAAAGGGUGUGUAGGCGGUUGGUCAAGUCCGAUGUGAAAGCCCGGGGCUCAGCUUCGGAAGUGCAUCGGAAACUAGCCAGCUGGAGCGCGAUAGAGGAGGGCGGAAUUCCUGGUGUAGCGGUGAAAUGCGUAGAUAUCAGGAGGAACACCGGCGGCGAAGGCGGCCCUCUGGAUCGUUGCUGACGCUGAGACGCGAAAGCGUGGGGAGCAAACAGG
rnacentral:rRNA from 1 species